CUCUUCUUGUGUUUAAAUAUGAAGUAUAACCUGCUCAAUGAAUAUUUAAAUGGCCGCGGUAUACUGACCGUGCAAAGGUAGCAUAAUCAUUAGUCUUUUAAUUGUAGGCUGGAAUGAAUGGUUGGACGAGAUAAAAUCUUUCUUAAAUUUAUUUGUUUGAAUUUAAUUAUUGUGUUAAAAAGCUCAAAUUUUUUUUUGGGACGAGAAGACCCUAUAGAGUUUUAUAAUUAAUAAUUAUUUUUAUUGUUUGGUAUAUUUUAAAUUGAAUUAAUUAUUUUGUUGGGGUGAUGUGAAGAUAUAAUUAACUCUUUAUAUUUAUUGUUUAUGAAUUAAUAUUUUUUUUGAUCCAUUUUUAGUGAUUAAAAGACUAAAUUACCUUAGGGAUAACAGCGUAAUCUUUUUUGAGAGUUCUUAUCGACAAAUAAGGGUUGCGACCUCGAUGUUGGAUUAAGAUUAUUCUUGGGUGUAAAAGCUUAAGAUUUAGGUCUGUUCGACCUUUAAUUUCUUACA
rnacentral:rRNA from 1 species